GAUGAACGCUGGCGGCGUGCCUAAUACAUGCAAGUCGAACGCUUUGUGGUUCAACUGAUUUGAAGAGCUUGCUCAGAUAUGACGAUGGACAUUGCAAAGAGUGGCGAACGGGUGAGUAACACGUGGGAAACCUACCUCUUAGCAGGGGAUAACAUUUGGAAACAGAUGCUAAUACCGUAUAACAAUGACAACCGCAUGGUUGUUAUUUAAAAGAUGGUUCUGCUAUCACUAAGAGAUGGUCCCGCGGUGCAUUAGCUAGUUGGUAAGGUAAUGGCUUACCAAGGCGAUGAUGCAUAGCCGAGUUGAGAGACUGAUCGGCCACAAUGGGACUGAGACACGGCCCAUACUCCUACGGGAGGCAGCAGUAGGGAAUCUUCCACAAUGGGCGAAAGCCUGAUGGAGCAACGCCGCGUGUGUGAUGAAGGGUUUCGGCUCGUAAAACACUGUUGUAAGAGAAGAAUGACAUUGAGAGUAACUGUUCAAUGUGUGACGGUAUCUUACCAGAAAGGAACGGCUAAAUACGUGCCAGCAGCCGCGGUAAUACGUAUGUUCCAAGCGUUAUCCGGAUUUAUUGGGCGUAAAGCGAGCGCAGACGGUUAUUUAAGUCUGAAGUGAAAGCCCUCAGCUCAACUGAGGAAUUGCUUUGGAAACUGGAUGACUUGAGUGCAGUAGAGGAAAGUGGAACUCCAUGUGUAGCGGUGAAAUGCGUAGAUAUAUGGAAGAACACCAGUGGCGAAGGCGGCUUUCUGGACUGUAACUGACGUUGAGGCUCGAAAGUGUGGGUAGCAAACAGGAUUAGAUACCCUGGUAGUCCACACCGUAAACGAUGAGUGCUAGGUGUUUGAGGGUUUCCGCCCUUAAGUGCCGCAGCUAACGCAUUAAGCACUCCGCCUGGGGAGUACGACCGCAAGGUUGAAACUCAAAGGAAUUGACGGGGACCCGCACAAGCGGUGGAGCAUGUGGUUUAAUUCGAAGCAACGCGAAGAACCUUACCAGGUCUUGACAUCCCUUGACAACUCCAGAGAUGGAGCGUUCCCUUCGGGGACAAGGUGACAGGUGGUGCAUGGUUGUCGUCAGCUCGUGUCGUGAGAUGUUGGGUUAAGUCCCGCAACGAGCGCAACCCUUAUUACUAGUUGCCAGCAUUCAGUUGGGCACUCUAGUGAGACUGCCGGUGACAAACCGGAGGAAGGUGGGGAUGACGUCAAAUCAUCAUGCCCCUUAUGACCUGGGCUACACACGUGCUACAAUGGCGUAUACAACGAGUUGCCAACCCGCGAGGGUGAGCUAAUCUCUUAAAGUACGUCUCAGUUCGGAUUGUAGGCUGCAACUCGCCUACAUGAAGUCGGAAUCGCUAGUAAUCGCGGAUCAGCACGCCGCGGUGAAUACGUUCCCGGGUCUUGUACACACCGCCCGUCACACCAUGAGAGUUUGUAACACCCAAAGCCGGUGGGGUAACCUUCGGGAGCCAGCCGUCUAAGGUGGGACAGAUGAUUAGGGUGAAGUCGUAACAAGGUAG
rnacentral:rRNA from 1 species